rnacentral:rRNA from 1 species
UACGGAGGGUGCGAGCGUUGUCCGGAAUCACUGGGCGUAAAGGGCGCGUAGGUGGCCUGUGGAAGUCUGCGGUGAAAGCCCGGCGCUCAACGCCGGGUCGGCCGUGGAUACUCUCGGGCUUGAGCUUACUAGAGGCAGAUGGAAUUCCGGGUGUAGCGGUGGAAUGCGUAGAGAUCCGGAAGAACACCGGUGGCGAAGGCGGCCUGCUGGG